UGGAGGCGGGAGGAACACCAAGAGCGUAAAAAAGAAUCCAAGGACACCUUUCUGUCAUUACGUAUGAAAGAUGCAGGAUUAAAAAUGACUAGAAUACAGUCAAUGACAAAAUUACAAAAAAUUGACCAUUUUGUUUCAGUCACAGGACACAACCAAUUAAUACAAGACAAAAAAUAAGUAACAAGCAGAGGAACGGAACCCCUUUCAUCGAAGGGGGGGCAACGGCGAUAACAAGAGAUGGAAACCUUCAGCCUCCCAGUAACAUGGAUUGUGUCCGUGGGGCAGACGCGCCUCACGACCUGCAUAUUAUCAAAGUACAACAGUAUUUAAUCACCUAAUAGUCCUAGAAUCAUGCCGUCAACAUUAAAAUAAACAACUAUUUAAUAAGA